UACGGAGGAUCCAAGCGUUAUCCGGAUUUAUUGGGUUUAAAGGGUGCGUAGGCGGACUUGUAAGUCAGUGGUGAAAGCCCUUCGCUUAACGAAGGAACUGCCAUUGAUACUGCAAAUCUUGAGUACAUUUGAUGUGGGCGGAAUGUGUCAUGUAGCGGUGAAAUGCUUAGAUAUGACACAGAACACCGAUUGCGAAGGCAGCUCACAAAACUGUAACUGACGCUGAGGCACGAAAGCGUGGGUAUCAAACAGG
rnacentral:rRNA from 1 species